UACGUAGGGUGCAAGCGUUGUCCGGAAUUAUUGGGCGUAAAGAGCUCGUAGGCGGUCUGUUGCGUCGGCUGUGAAAACCCGAGGCUCAACCUCGGGCCUGCAGCCGAUACGGGCAGACUAGAGUUCGGCAGGGGAGACUGGAAUUCCUGGUGUAGCGGUGAAAUGCGCAGAUAUCAGGAGGAACACCGAUGGCGAAGGCAGUGUUCUGGGCCGAAACUGACGCUGAGGAGCGAAAGCGUGGGGAGCGAACAGG
rnacentral:rRNA from 1 species